UUUUGACCUCGGAUCAGGUAGGGAACCCCGCUGAACUUAAGCAUAUCAA
rnacentral:rRNA from 1 species